CCUACGGGUGGCUGCAGUGAGGAAUAUUGGUCAAUGGCCGUAAGGCUGAACCAGCCAAGUCGCGUGAAGGAUGACGGCCCUACGGGUUGUAAACUUCUUUUACAGGGGAGUAAAGCUCUCCACGCGUGCAUCUUUGCAUGUACCCUAUGAAUAAGCAUCGGCUAACUCCGUGCCAGCAGCCGCGGUAAUCCGGAGGAUGCGAGCGUUAUCCGGGUUUAUUGGGUUUAAAGGGUGCGUAGGUUGGAUGUUAAGGCAGCGGUUAAAGUUUGGGGCUCAACCAUAAAAUGGCCGUUGAAACUGGGUGACUUGAGUGGGUGAGAGGUAGGCGGAAUGCGUGGUGUAGCGGUGAAAUGCAUAGAUAUCACGCAGAACUCCGAUUGCGAAGGCAGCGUACCAGGGCAUAACUGACGCUCAAGCACGAAAGCGUGGGUAUCGAACAGGAUUAGAUACCCCUGUAGUC
rnacentral:rRNA from 1 species